UACAGAGGUCUCAAGCGUUGUUCGGAUUCAUUGGGCGUAAAGGGUGUGUAGGUGGCGCUGUAAGUCGGGUGUGAAAUUUCGGAGCUUAACUCCGAAACUGCAUUCGAUACUGCGGUGCUUGAGGACUGGAGAGGAGACUGGAAUUCAUGGUGUAGCAGUGAAAUGCGUAGAGAUCAUGAGGAAGACCAGUGGCGAAGGCGGCUCUCUGGCCUGUAACUGACGCUGAGGCGCGAAAGCGUGGGGAGCAAACAGG
rnacentral:rRNA from 1 species